rnacentral:sRNA from 1 species
GAUGUAUCUAUACAAUGAGAAAGUUGC